rnacentral:lncRNA from 1 species
UUUUUUAUCCAGUCACAAUUUUUUUUAAAUAUUUUUUUUAUCAAGUGAAAAAGGCAUUGACUUGCAUAUCCAAGGGUUUUAAGUUCGAACCCUAUAACACCUUGAUAGUAUGUGUGAAAAAUCAACUUCUCCUUAUAGUUUAGACUAUCAUUUAUAUUAAAAAUAUAUAUAUAUAUAUAUAUAUCUCCGGGACAGCCCCAAAAAGUGGUCGCCCAAGG